AUUAACGCUAGCGGCAGGCAUAAUACAUGCAAGUUGAGCGGCAGCGCGGGGGCAACCCUGGCGGCGAGCGGCGGACGGGUGAGGAAUUCGUCGGAAUCUGCCUUUUUGUGGGGGAUAACGUAGGGAAACUUACGCUAAUACCGCAUACGACCUACGGGUGAAAGUGGGGGACCUUCGGGCCUCACGCAGAAAGAUGAGCCGACGACCGAUUAGCUAGUUGGUAGGGUAAAGGCCUACCAAGGCGACGAUCGGUAGCUG
rnacentral:rRNA from 1 species